AGAAGGCCCUGAGAGCACAGCUCCUCACCAUGGACUGGACUUGGAGGAUCCUAUCUUUGGUGGUCAUGGCUGCAGGUGCCCAGUCCCAGGUGCAGCUGGUGCAGUCUGGGGCUGAGGUGAAGCAGCCUGGGGCAUCAGUGAAGAUCUCCUGCAAGGCUUCUGGAUAUACCUUUACUAGCAACUGUAUGCACUGGGUGCGCCAGGCCCCUGCACAAGGGCUUGAGUGGAUGGGAUAUGUGUGCCCUAGUGAUGGCAGCACAGGUUACGCACAGAAGUUCCAGGGCAGAGUCACCAUGACCAGGGACACGUCCACGAACAUAGCCUAUGUGGAGCUGAGCAGCCUGAGACCUGAGGACACGGCCGUGUAUUACUGUGCAAGAGACACAGUGUGA